rnacentral:rRNA from 1 species
GAUGAACGCUGGCGGCGUGCCUAAUACAUGCAAGUCGAGCGAACAGACGAGGAGCUUGUUCCUCUGACGUUAGCGGCGGACGGGUGAGUAACACGUGGAUAACCUACCUAUAAGACUGGGAUAACUUCGGGAAACCGGAGCUAAUACCGGAUAAUAUAUUGAACCGCAUGGUUCAAUAGUGAAAGACGGUUUUGCUGUCACUUAUAGAUGGAUCCGCGCCGCAUUAGCUAGUUGGUAAGGUAACGGCUUACCAAGGCAACGAUGCGUAGCCGACCUGAGAGGGUGAUCAGCCACACUGGAACUGAGACACGGUCCAGACUCCUACGGGAGGCAGCAGUAGGGAAUCUUCCGCAAUGGGCGAAAGCCUGACGGAGCAACGCCGCGUGAGUGAUGAAGGUCUUCGGAUCGUAAAACUCUGUUAUUAGGGAAGAACAAAUGUGUAAGUAACUAUGCACGUCUUGACGGUACCUAAUCAGAAAGCCACGGCUAACUACGUG